AUUGAACGCUGGCGGCAUGCCUAACACAUGCAAGUCGAAUGGCAGCACGUUACGUAGUAAUACGUAAGGGUGGCGAAUGGCGGACGGGUGAGUAAUACGUAAGGAUCUGCCCAGAAGAGGGGGAUAACACGGGGAAACUCGUGCUAAUACCGCAUACUACUCUGAGGAGGAAGGUUGGAGCAAUCCAGUCGUUUUUGGAGGAACUUACGUCUGAUUAGCUAGUUGGUGGGGUAAAGGCUCACCAAGGCGAUGAUCAGUAGCUGGUCUGAGAGGAUGAUCAGCCACACUGGGACUGAGACACGGCCCAGACUCCUACGGGAGGCAGCAGUGGGGAAUAUUGGACAAUGGGGGCAACCCUGAUCCAGCGAUGCCGCGUGUGUGAAGAAGGCCUUCGGGUUGUAAAGCACUUUAGGUUGGGAGGAAGGUGUUGUUGUUAAUAGCGAUGACAUUUGACGUUACUCGCAGAAUAAGCACCGGCUAACUCUGUGCCAGCAGCCGCCGUAA
rnacentral:rRNA from 1 species